rnacentral:vault_RNA from 11 species
GCGUCGGUUUAGCUCAGUGGUUACUUCUGGUCAUGUGUUUGCCUUCCCUCGGGCUCUUCUGGGGCCCUGAGUUCGACCACGGGCGCUGUCCGAUGCAUUU